GGAACUUUUGAAUAUAAGUGAAUAACCACGACAGUAUGAAUCCGCCUUUGCACGGCGGAGGUCAGGGGUUCGAAUCCCCUCGGCUCCA
rnacentral:tRNA from 1 species